AGCGGCGGACGGGUGAGUAACACGUGGGCAACCUGCCCUGGAGCGGGGGAUAACAUUUGGAAACAGAUGCUAAUACCGCAUAACAAUCAAACCACAUGGUUUCGUUUCAAAGAUGGUUUCGGCUAUCACUUCAGGAUGGGCCCGCGGUGCAUUAGCUAGUUGGUAAGGUAACGGCUUGCCAAGGCAAUGAUGCAUAGCCGAGUUGAGAGACUGAUCGGCCACAAUGGAACUGAGACACGGUCCAUACUCC
rnacentral:rRNA from 1 species